rnacentral:snRNA from 1 species
UGGGGGCGCAACGCCCUCGA